rnacentral:rRNA from 1 species
UCGAGAAUUUUUCACAAUGGGCGAAAGCCUGAUGGAGCGACGCCGCGUGGGGGAUGAAUGGCUUCGGCCCGUAAACCCCUGUCAUUUGCGAACAAACCUUAUCUGUGAACAACGGAUAAGCUGAUUGUAGCGGAAGAGGAAGGGACGGCUAACUCUGUGCCAGCAGCCGCGGUAAUACAGAGGUCCCAAGCGUUGUUCGGAUUCACUGGGCGUAAAGGGUGCGUAGGUGGUGAGGUAAGUUUGAGGUGAAAGCUCCGGGCCUAACCCGGAAAUUGCCUUGAAUACUAUCUCGCUAGAGGAUCGGAGGGGAGACUGGAAUUCUCGGUGUAGCAGUGAAAUGCGUAGAUAUCGAGAGGAACACCAGUGGCGAAGGCGAGUCUCUGGACGAUACCUGACACUGAGGCACGAAAGCCAGGGGAGCAAACGGG